GGGCGGAUAGCUCAGUUGGCAGAGCACCUGCGUCACAUGCAGGGGGUCACAGGUUCAAGUCCUGUUCCGCCCACCA
rnacentral:tRNA from 1 species